CCUACGGGGGGCAGCAGUGGGGCAUAUUGCACAAUGGGGGAAACCCUGAUGCAGCGACGCCGCGUGAGUGAAGAAGUACUUCGUUAUGUAAAGCUCUAUCAGCAGGGAAGAAAAUGACGCUACCUGAGUCAGAAGCCCCGGCUAACUACGUGCCAGCAGCCGCGGUAAUACGUAGGGGGCAAGCGUUAUCCGGAUUUACUGGGUGUAAAGGGAGCGUAGACGGCAGUGCAAGUCUGGAGUGAAAGGCGGGGGCUCAACCCCCGGACUGCUCUGGAAACUGUACGGCUGGAGUGCAGGAGAGGUAAGUGGAAUGCCUAGUGUAGCGGUGAAAUGCGUAGAUAUUAGGAGGAACACCAGUGGCGAAGGCGGCUUACUGGACUGUAACUGACGUUGAGGCUCGAAAGCGUGGGGAGCAAACAGGAUUAGAUACCCUUGUAGUC
rnacentral:rRNA from 1 species